rnacentral:rRNA from 1 species
GUCUACGGCCAUACCACCCUGAACGCACCCGAUCUCGUCUGAUCUCGGAAGCUAAGCAGGGUCGGGCCUGGUUUAGUACUUGGAUGGGAGAACUAGUUCAGUGUCUC